rnacentral:lncRNA from 1 species
UGUUUGCUUGAUCCACAAUGGCUGGCAGUACCAGCAGGUCUGCCUGGUGCAGAAGCUGGGUUUCUUUCUGCUUUUUCACGGCUGCUGCCUCGGAGGCUUGGUGUCAGAGUGAAAGGCAGUGACCUCUGCAUUCUGUGCUGGAGCCAGGAGCACAGGAUGGGAGUCUCCCACACUAGCUGUCCUUGACGGCCUGGGGCCAGGUGUGCUUUAAACCUGAGAAUCAACGUUGUGGCUUGGUAGAUGUACUGUGGCGUGUUGGUGUGUGUGGCCAGUGAGAGUGAGAAGCCGUCCCCAUUCAGCUGCAUUUCAAAGGAAAGCGUGACUGGGGCCUGGGAGCUGGGCUGACUCCCUGGAAGCCAGGGCUGGGGAGCUGCCCACUCUGUAGUCAGUUCUUUGGUCCCCUGCCCUUUUACAGACAUACUUUACUUCUUAAAGUCUCUAGUCCUUCUGUCCUAUGCGAGCACUCACGCUUCUCUUACUAAGCCUGAGGGACAGUGUCCUGAUUCCAUAAAGGUCACUGCAUCCUCCCUGCUCUGCAUCUGAGCAGAGCUGUUUUCUGCCCAGCGCCUUCAGAAAGUCAGACCCAGUCCUCCUCUGUACAGGGUUAGGAUACCUCGACUCUAAGUGUCCCUGACACCUUCUGCUCAGUAACUUGGAAAGAAGAUGGGGCCACACUCUGGGUGGAAAAGGGUGCCUUGGGCCACCUGAACCUCUGUCCUCAUCAGGCAGGAGAGGCAAGGGUACCUCAGGGCAGACACAGCCAGGCGCCUGUGAGGCCAGAGACUCUGUUCUGCCCAAGCUUCUACAAAGACCUGAAUUCCUCAGUGGUCUUAAGGUAGAACUAUGAACUAACUUCUAGAACAAUGGUUCUCAGCCUGUGGGCUGUGUUGGGGAUGCCAGACAACCAUUUCACAGGGGCCGCAUAUCAGAUACCCUGCAUAUUAGGUAGUUACAAACGAUACAUACAUAACAGUAGAAAAUCACACUUAUAAAAUAGCAAUGAAAAUGAUCUUACGGUUAGGGUCACCACUACAUGAAGAACUAUAUUAAAGGGUCACAGAGUUAGGAAGGUUGAGAACCACUGUUCUAGAAGUGUCUUGCUGGCUUAUCUCUGACAUCAGAGUCCCUGUGUCAGUCAGAUUUAAAGAGCUUCAGAUUCCACCCAUUCCACCCUGCCCCUCCCUCACUCCAUGUGCUGCUCUGAGUUCUCUCUGGCUUUUGGGAAGCUGGGAGUACAAGAGGCUCCAGGGUGCGCAGGGGCGGAAUGAGCCUGGAGAUUAAGAGCCUGGGGGCACCACUCCAUUCAGAAGCUAAGCUCUGCCAGUGUUUGCACAGGACUCACUUGCAAAGUUUGCUUGGCUCAGCAGACUGCCCUUGGCAGCAACCCACCCUAGGGGAUCCCGUUCCUGACAAACUCCAGCCCCAGAGACCUUAGGCAGCUUUGAAUCCUUCCAUGGAGAGUAGUGACACAGUCAGAGCUUCAUCCCAGACUCAGAACCCCCAAACAGUCUCUCCUGGAGCUGGCCCCAGGUGGUGAGCAUAAGUUACAAAAGGGAAAACAAGGCCCAAAGCUGGCUUCAGGAGCAAAGAAUGCUUUGUAGUGUAGAACAGCCCUUGACCUUUAGCUUGUGAAUUAAGAGGUGUGGAAGCUAUGGGUUUGGUUUUAUUGCCUUGGGUGGGAAGUGGGGGCUUUUCUUGGGUGUGACAGCCCUGGGCUCAGGGCCCUAAGGUCUGCAGAAGAAAUAGGACAGGAUUCUUGCUUGCUAUCAUUUCAUGCUUUCUCUCUGUUAAGAAGUUGAGGGUAAAGCCAACUCAGUCCUUGGUCCUGGGAGCAGAGGUGGAGGAUUGUUCGGCAACCCAGACAAUAGCAAGCACUGCUUUCAAUGGUUCCUGCGUCUCCCCAGUCUUAUCUAGGGAGUUCCAUGGGCUAGAAGGUGGGGAUUUAGGCGGGCCUGAGUUCUGGAUCUUUUCCAUACCUCUUCGGCUUCUAUGUUGUGAUUCUCCAAAACACAUGUGGAGGAGGUGGUGGGGGGAGAAGUCAGAAAUGAAGAAUCCCACCCCACAAGGACUUCUCUCACCCAAGUAUUUUUUGAAACACACAGGAGUCAGAAUCAAUGCCAUUAUCCUGCAAAAGAUGUCCCUUCAUAUGUCCCCUGCAGAGGAAGCCAAUAUACUGGUCCUCCAGUUAAUAUCCUUCCAGCUACCUGUCCUGGUGAUGGUCUUAGCAGGCUAGGGAUGGAUAGGGUAUGCUGGCUUCCUGCAGUUCUAUACCUCAUCACUUCAUUCGCUGCUGAAGUCCAAUUGGCUCCUCGUGGGCAGAGCAAGCAGGAAAGGGACAUGCAAGGACCACCUGAGUCAUUGGUAAGGACACAGGAGCUCUAGAAGAAUGGGCCAUACAUAGACUGCCCGGCCAGCCAAGGAUGGUUCUAGAACCCUGCCUCCCUGUCACUCCUGUUUGUUUCACUGUGGUUUCAGGGAGCGGGUGAGCCAGCGUGCGCAUCCACAUUCAUCAAGCUCAGCUCAGCGUGUUCUUGCAUCAUAAAGUGACUAUUGUGGGUAGUAGUAUUUGGAUUGGUGACAUAACCUGCUGAGGAACUCCCACUCCCCUGUCAUUAGGAUAGUGAGGCCCCAGGUUAGCCCACUGGCAACCAAGCACACUCCCUUCAGCUCUGAGCUAGAGAUCUGGCAGGUCCAGGAAGUGAGUUCUGCAAUCUCCUUCUGCAACACAGUCCAGCCGAUGAAUAGUAGCCACUCCCAAUGUGAGCUCAGCCUGUCUCACAAGC